GGCUCUUUGCUCACAUAAAUAUAAAGAGUCGAGCCUGCCCAGUGAAUUUUUUUUUAACGGCCGCGGUACUCUGACCGUGCAAAGGUAGCAUAAUCAUUUGCCUUAUAAUUGAAGGCUAGUAUGAAUGGUUUGACGAGAGCAACACUGUCUCCUUUUUAUUUUCAAAAACUUAACUUUUAGGUGAAGAGGCCUAAAUUUUAUUGAAGGACAAGAAGACCCUGUCGAGCUUAAAAGACAUUAUAGGAGUCUAAUAUAUUUUUAAAUAAAUUUCUGUUAAACUUUUUAGUUGGGGCGACUAAGGAACAAAAAAAGCUUCUUUCUAACGGAUAAACAAUCAUGUUUGGAUCCGAUAAUAGCGAUCAAAGAAAUUAGUUACCGCAGGGAUAACAGCAUAAUCUCUCUUAAGAGACCUAAUCGAAAGAGGGGGUUGUGACCUCGAUGUUGGACUAGAAUAUCCUAAAGAUGCAGAAGUCUUUAAGGGUCGGUCUGUUCGACCGUUAAAUUCU
rnacentral:rRNA from 1 species